AGCGAACGCUGGCGGCAGGCCUAACACAUGCAAGUCGAGCGCCCCGCAAGGGGAGCGGCAGACGGGAGAGUAACACGUGGGAACGUACCCUUCAGUUCGGAACAACCCAGGGAAACUUGGGCUAAUACCGAAUACGUCCGUAAGGAGAAAGAUUUAUCGCUGAAGGAUCGGCCCGCGUCCGAUUAGCUAGUUGGUGAGGUAACGGCUCACCAAGGCGACGAUCGGUAGCUGGUCUGAGAGGAUGAUCAGCCUCACUGGGACUGAGACACGGCCCAGACUCCUACGGGAGGCAGCAGUGGGGAAUAUUGGACAAUGGGCGCAAGCCUGAUCCAGCCAUGCCGCGUGGAUGAUGAAGGCCCUGGGGUUGUAAAGUCCUUUCGGCGGGGAUGAUAAUGACGGUACCCGCAGAAGAAGCCCCGGCUAACUUCGUGCCAGCCGCCGCGGUAA
rnacentral:rRNA from 1 species